CAGUUUGGGCGUUCGCUCAACAUUUUUAUUCGCCUUCGAAGCUAACUCGACGCGUAUUCGAUGCUAAUUCUACGCGUAUUCGACGGAAUAUAUACGAUCGUCGUCACCGCGAAACAUAGGACUCGAUUUUGAAAUCACAUCCAACCCAAUCCGCUCUCUGACCUUAACAAAAAUUAGAAACUCUACAAUUUACGCUCAGUGGCCGUCGACUUCGCUCUUGUCUUGAUUAGCGCUUCAAUUCUCUUCAGUUCUCUGAAUUCGUUUUGGGCGUUUUCUGGGUUUGAUUCGGUUUUCGGCGGGCUUCCAUCUUUGGCUUAAAUGGCUGCCGGAAACCCCAGUUUUCCAACGGUCAGAGAUUAAAACCCACUAUUCAAUUUCCGUUCCUUUUGUGUAUUCUUAUAUAAUUUACUUUUGGGUUUAUUGAAUUGAACCUAACGAGUUGUUUGCAGGCAUUAAUUUUGUGCACCCGUUAAUCUACUUGCUGGGUUUUUCAUAUUCGCUCUGUUUCUUUUUUGUUUGGGUUUUGCAUACUGAGUGAUCCAUUUGCAGGAGUUCUUAUUUUUUGCUUAUUGUUUUGUUGGAUAUUUGCAGGAUAUUUGAUCUUUAGUCUCUCUCUCUCUCUCUCUCUCUCUCUCUCUCUCUCUCUGCUUUUUUGUUAUUGUUUUCAUUUUUCACGUAUAUAUUAUCUUGUCGCAUCUUAACAUAACAAUGAGGUCUAGAUGCCCUCUUGAAGAACGGCUUCUUCAGAAAAGGAAUUCUCGGGAAAAUUUGGACAGGUUCAUACCAAAUAGGUCUGCAAUGGAUUUUGAUUUUGCGCAUUACAUGCUUACUCAAGGUAGGAAAGGUAAGGAAAACCCAUCUAGAUAUGGAAGAGACUAUAGGAAGCAGUUGGCAAAGGCUAUGAACAUGAAUCGCACUAGAAUCCUCGCUUUCAAGAACAAGCCUUCUCCCCCUGUGGAGCUCUUCCCGAGCAACUUCUCUUCUUUCCCACAGGAUAAACCGGCGAACUCUAAGCCACAGAGACACAUUCCUCAAACUCCAGAGACAACACUGGAUGCUCCUCACCUUAUUGAUGAUUAUUACCUGAAUUUGUUGGAUUGGGGAAGCUCCAAUGUUAUCGCGAUAGCUCUUGCAGACAGUUUAUUUGUGGGAUGCUACUGAUCAUUCUAAUUCGGAAGCGGUCACAUUUGAGGUUGAAAUGGGACCUGUUACCAGUGUCAGUUGGGCUGUUGAUGGACGCCACAUUGCCAUUGGACUGGACAAUUCCGAAGUACAGCUAUGGGAUUCAACUGCAAAGCAGUAUCUGAGAACCUUGAGAGGUUGUCACAAAUCACGGGUAGGCUCACUAGCAUGGAACAAUCACAUUCUUACAACUGGAGGAAUGGAUGGCCGCAUUGUAAACAAUGAUGUAAGAAUUAGAUCGCACAUUGUUGAGACAUACAGAGGACAUGAACGCGAGGUUUGUGGGCUUAAGUGGUCAGCCUCAGGGCAGCAAUUAGCAAGUGGAGGAAAUGAUAACCUGCUCCAUAUAUGGGACAACAGAUCAGUGGCACCAACACAGUGGCUUCACAGGCUUGAAGACCAUACAGCUGCUGUAAAAGCCCUUGCUUGGUGUCCUUUCCAGAGAAAUUUGCUCGCUUCUGGUGGAGGUGGGAAUGAUCGGUGCAUAAAGUUCUGGAACACUCACACAGGUGCUUGCCUGAACUCGGUGGACACUGGCUCUCAGGUUUGUGCUUUGCUGUGGAAUAUGAAUGAACGAGAACUGCUUAGCUCACAUGGGUUUACUCAGAAUCAGCUUACUCUUUGGAAAUACCCAUCAAUGGUUAGAAUUGCAGAACUCACGGGUCAUACGUCUAGAGUCCUUCAUAUGGCUCAGAGCCCAAAUGGUUGCACAGUAGCAUCAGCAGCUGGUGAAAGACUGAACUUCUGGAAUGUUUUUGGGGACCCUGAUGAGGUUAAACCAGCUCCCAAAGAGCCUUUUGCCCAUGUGAAUCGUAUCCGCUGAACAAGAAAAUGAGAAAUUACAUCGGAUGGAGAUUUUAUGGGCCAAAAACUACAAUCAGGUAUGGGACGCUGAACUGGAACUUUGAUCAGUACUAUUCUUUCUAGUGCAAGUUGGGAUGAAAUGAAAAGCUUCAGCGAAGGUCUCAAACAGUUGCAGUGCUUAGGGUUUAGGGUUUAGGCCAUAUUAUUUCUCAAUUCCCCUGUAUGAAGAGUGAUGGGAAAUAGGAAAACUUUCUCAGUUCCACUGUAUAAAGAGUGAUGGGAAAUAGGAAAUCUUUUUAUUAUUUAGGUAGUAAUGGAUUUCAAGAAAUCCUUGAAAUCAUAGACAUCAAUAAAGAUAAGUUCUCUUUUCCCAGCAAAAAAGAAUUCCAAUUUUGGAAUCACAACCUUGCCCCCCAUAUAUUGCUUGUGGUUGUCUCUUUGAUCACUCCGAUUAGGCCGACACCAGUAUGCCACCGAGGCCUUGAUUCUCUCUUCGAUGUGCCACCGAGACCCAAGGGGGGACUUUGCUUUUGAAGAUUCAAGUAAUGUGGAGCUGUUGGUGCUGCAGGCAGCUGAAUUAGUACUAGCAUUUGCCCAGUGCUAGCUUGCUGUAUUAAACUAGCUCACUAGCAGCAAUGACAUUGUUAAUGUUCUUCCUUAACAUUUCCUGAUUUUUUUGUGGGUAGCGUGUUCCCUGAAUUUUCAAUCUCUCUCCAUAAGGUUUCUCAUCAACAGUAUUUGCUAGUGAGCUUGUGUGAGUUCUUCCAAGCUUGAAUACGAUUAUCAUGUUUGUAA